rnacentral:rRNA from 1 species
GAUGAACGCUGGCGGCGUGCCUAAUAAAUGCAAGUCGAGCGAACGGACGAGAAGCUUGCUUCUCUGAUGUUAGCGGCGGACGGGUGAGUAACACGUGGAUAACCUACCUAUAAGACUGGGAUAACUUCGGGAAACCGGAGCUAAUACCGGAUAAUAUUUUGAACCGCAUGGUUCAAAAGUGAAAGACGGUCUUGCUGUCACUUAUAGAUGGAUCCGCGCUGCAUUAGCUAGUUGGUAAGGUAACGGCUUACCAAGGCAACGAUGCAUAGCCGACCUGAGAGGGUGAUCGGCCACACUGGAACUGAGACACGGUCCAGACUCCUACGGGAGGCAGCAGUAGGGAAUCUUCCGCAAUGGGCGAAAGCCUGACGGAGCAACGCUGCGUGAGUGAUGAAGGUCUUCGGAUCGUAAAACUCUGUUAUUAGGGAAGAACAUAUGUGUAAGUAACUGUGCACAUCUUGACGGUACCUAAUCAGAAAGCCACGGCUAACUACGUG